GUUGAUGUCUAUAAGCUAUUCCACUUGAUGAAUGUAUGGAUUCAGUGCUGGAAUUAGCGGAGUGUGUGGAUCAGGGAAGUCAAGGCAGGAGGGGAAUCUGCGGGGAAAACCCAAUUGAGUGGCUUACCCGAGACUUCUGAAUGUCCAAGAUAUUAUUCCAUGGGAAGAUCAUCUUCAAUAUGAUCUCCUGGAUGAUGGUUUGAGUCUCCCACAGAGAGAUGUGGUUGUCCUGCUUCUCCAUGGCCUGGCCCAUCACUGACUCUGCAUUCUGAAGGUCUCUGGCUUGCUUGGAGCUGCCAAACUUUGGGUUCAGAUCUGGAAUUAGAUGGUUUUUAUUGAUGUCACUUGAAAAUCUGAUUGUCAACAUCAUGAAAACAGUGCUAGGAAAAGCCACAAAAUAUUGCACAAGACCCAGAAGGACUGAAAGUUGGAGGAUUUCUUUCAGGGGAUAUAUUGUUUUCACUGGUUUAUCAGACAGACCAUCACUUCCUGCAUCCCAGGGUUAUAAGGACAAGUUCAACUUGCAUCAUCCUUCUCCAUUUCCUCAGCUGGCAUUCAACUUCCAGUUGGAUGCAUCAUGUUUCCCAUUUCCUGGCAUCCCAAUAAAGUCUGGAUGAAUGAUGAGAGAGUCUGCUGGGAGACAUUUACACAAUGAUGAUAGCUAAUAAGAAAUGGCAUUAAGAAAUUACUUCAACUUUCUCCACUGAGAUGUUGCCAUCGGCUGUUGAUGAACUUUUAGCUCAUUCUCUUGUGACAUGGAAAGGAAAGAUCUGAAAUGCAGCAUAUAUUUCAAGCAGAAAAGCGAUUGAAAAAAUUCCAAGAAAUCUCUGUGAAGAGCCAAAGAGAAGUGUUGCACUGUGAGACAAUGCCUCUGGACAAUUACAGCCUGUUAGUUUUAAUGCAGCUCCAAUUGCUUCCGUCUGCAGCCAAUCUGACCACUGGAAACAGGCACUUUUGCAAUGCCCUUUAAUUUUUCUGAUUUGUGUGUGGGCAGUAUCUGUUGGUAUUAAUACAACUCUUUUCCGGAUUGAAUUAGGGAAAACAAGACGAGCUUUCAAAGGAGCCUCAACUUUCUUUGGGAAACGUGAGCUGCAGAGCAGAGGAUCCACGUGGAUGGGUUAUCAAUAUUCAAGUGCAAACUCAGGAAGGAGGCACAGAGAAGUCCCAUGGGUCCCCAGAUGUCCCCAGCAGCACCCCACAACCUCUUUAGCCAUCCUUUAGCUAUUCUGAAUCUGCCAGAUACUCCAGCUCCAUCCUCAGGGCUGUGCCAGCAGGGAUCCCCACAAUUCCCAACUUUCUGGGCCUCUAUAUUCUCUGGAUGAAUUAAACAGCUCAUGAGCUAAAAAUCUUCUUCCAUCCCUACAGUCUGACAAAUACACAUUUUGUUUUUAAACUAAUUUGCAAGAGCCUUUCCCAGAUCCAGCUCCCUCCCCUUGUAGGAAUUGUCUUGUGCCUACACUUAAACCUGGCUUAUGGAAACCACAGCCCCAGAGAAGCUCAAAUUUGCUCUUUUUAUGAGGAACGGGCUGAAAAAUGGCAAACAUUAAGUUCUAAUAAAAAUGUAUGUAUAUUUUAAAAUUCUUCA
ensembl:lncRNA